GGGAGUAAGUCCCAUUGAGCAUAGUGUGGCAUUCUUAUGAGUAAACCCAGUGCCACUUUUACUGGUUAGCAGCAUUGCACACUUCCUCUCCAGUUCUUCUUCCGCACAAUAAAAGAUGUACAACAGUUGUGCUUGCUUGUGUCAAGGAUUGCCACAACCUGGCUUGGGAGUUUUGUGUGUUAUUUACAAAACUUUCCUGUCCUCCCUUGGAAUGCAA